rnacentral:misc_RNA from 1 species
GUGAGUCAUCGAAUCUUUGAACGCACAUUGCGCCCCUUGGUAUUCCGAGGGGCAUGCCUGUUCGAGCGUCAUUUCAAACCUCAAGCUUCUGCUUGGUAUUGAGCGGCCGCCUUCGGAAACGGAGGCGCCCUCGAAACUCGUGGGCGGUGAUGUCCAGCGUCGUAGCGUAGUCAUAAACCAUUUCGCUUCCGACCGCUUGCCACUCACCCGCCGGGCGAACCGACACCUCCGGUGUCACUUUUCUCAAGGUUUGACCUCGGAUCAGGUAGGGAUACCCGCUGAACUUAAGCAUAUCAAUAAGCGGAGGA